GAUGAACGCUGGCGGCGUGCUUAACACAUGCAAGUCGAACGAGAAGUGGAGACGGAAACCUUCGGGCGGAAGACUUUACUUCGAGUGGCGGACGGGUGAGUCCCGCGUGGGUAACCUGCCUCAUACAGGGGGAUAACAGUUGGAAACGACUGUUGAUACCGCAUCAGACCACAGCACCGCAUGGUGCGGGGGUAAAAACUCCGGUGGUAUGAGAUGGACCCGCGUUCGAUUAGCCAGUUGGCGGGGUAACGGCCCACCAAAGCGACGAUCGAUAGCCGAUCUGAGAGGAUGACCGGCCACAUUGGGACUGAGACACGGCCCAAACUCCUACGGGAGGCAGCAGUGGGGAAUAUUGAACAAUGGGGGAAACACUGAGGCAGCGACGCCGCGUGAGUGAAGAAGUAUUUGGGUAUGUAAAGCUCUAUCAGCAGGGAAGAAAAUGACAGUACCUGAGUAAGAAGCCCCGGCUAACUACGUG
rnacentral:rRNA from 1 species